rnacentral:lncRNA from 1 species
CGCUUUCUCGAGUGGGGUCGCCCUGGUUCUUCAAUGGGCGGCGUGUCGGCGGCCAUUGCGAGAAGACGCCUUUCCCACCCGUUGAGCUAGGAACGCUGUUCCAGCCCCAGCUGCCCUUCGUUACAGGGACACGUGGCCUCCAUCAGAAAUGGAGGGAGGUCGGGCCGGUAUGUCUGCAGAGAGCGAGAUUCCAAUGGGCCGCAGGCUCCACUGUUCCUGCGGAGUCAUCGCCCUGAUCCCGGGAGCCUGAGACCUCUCUACCUAACAAAACACGAUCUAGAUCACAACCAAGCAACAUAAAGUCAUCUUAACCUGUUCCCGUGCUGUUUCCUGAUUUUGGUCAUUAAAAUCAGACACAUCCCUAGCGACAGAAUUGAGAGGCCAUGUGCAGAUUUAAAAUACCCAUUUCUGUAACUCACUCAUUUUUCAUUUUCAAUAUGCUGAAAACCCCUGUAAGACUGAAGUGACUUUGAACAUCCUAAUCAUCUCUGGUUGUGUUUCGUGACCCAAAGCUUUGAAUACUGGGGAAAGAAUCAGCAUGAUUUAUCGUAGAAAGAAGUGAGACUUGGACUGGACUUCAUACAGAUAUGCAGAAUUUCUGAAGGCAGAAUUGGAAGAAGGAUUCUUGAGAUGAAGAAAAGGACUCACAUUGUGGAAGAAGAGAACUGAAUUGUGCUCCCAUCUCCACACACGUUGACAUACACGCAAUAGUAAAUGUGAAAAUUGAAUGAAAAUGAGGACAUGACGGCUCCAAGAAGAAGGUACCAUAUCUCAUAACGGAUGGUUGUGAACCACCAUGUGGUUGCUGGGAAUUGAACUCAGGACCUCUGGAAGAGCAGUCGUUGCUCUUAACCUCUGAGCCAUCUCUCCAGCCCCUGUAUAGAUUAUUUUUAACUGUAAGCCUUUUGUUACAAGUUUUAAGUUAAAUUUUUGUUAACAGAUUUGACAGAUGUUUUAACCAUACCCAAUAAACUUACAAACCCUGAGAGUUUACUUAAUAGCUUUAAAAGAUUUUUUGAGAGCAGGGAGCCAAAAAAAAUUAUAGACAUAAAAGAUUUUUAAGAGUGAAAACUAGAAAAACCUUAGAAAUAAGAGGCUUGGAAGUGUAGAGCAGAGAAAGCUUAGAUAUAAGAGAUUUGGGGAAUCAUUUGUGCAGUGGCAAAAGUUGUUACCAUAUGAGAAAAUUUGAAAAUCUAGUGUUCCAUCUUUGGCCUUUGAGCUGUUUGUAGUAAGACAACGAAGCUAUAAUGGAAUCUCUGAGUCCUAGGAUUCAGAGAGAAAAGGUCGUCAUAUAAGGUCCAGAAGGGUGUAUGGAAGCAGUGGGACUUCCAGGAGGGAGGCGAUAGACAGAAGAGAAGAAGGACAGGGUUUGAUUCUUAUCUGAAUUCUUUCUGAAUGACUCCAG